UACGUAGGUGGCAAGCGUUGUCCGGAUUUACUGGGCGUAAAGGAUGCGUAGGCGGAUACUUAAGUCAGAUGUGAAAAAUCCCGAGCUUAACUUGGGAACUGCAUUUGAAAACUGGAUAUCUAGAGUGUGGGAGAGGAAAGUGGAAUUCCUAGUGUAGCGGUGAAAUGCGUAGAGAUUAGGAAGAACACCAGUGGCGAAGGCGACUUUCUGGACCAUAACUGACGCUGAGGCAUGAAAAGCGUGGGGAGCAAAC
rnacentral:rRNA from 1 species